UAGAUUAGUGGUUGCCAGAGGCUGGGAGCAGAGAAGGAUGGGAGGGGGUGGUGGCUGCUAAUGGGGAUGGGGUUUUUUUGUGGGGGCAGCGCACUUUGAAAGUGUGAACUUCAUGAGUGCACACUCUUAAUGGACCAGCACUACCAGGAAAGGACCUGGAACCUAGGAGGCAUUCAGUAAACACCCACUGAACGAAUCGACUGUCUCCAAGGACCGAAAGAACGGAGCCUUUGCCAAGAAAAGAGGCUGAAUUCUCAGGCCCUCCACUUUAGAUCAAAUAGCACUGCUUUACCAGGGAAAGAAAGUUAGGGACCCCAAGGAGCUGUGGGAGCU